AGAGUUUGAUCAUGGCUCAGAGCGAACGCUGGCGGCAGGCCUAAUACAUGCAAGUCGAGCGGUCCCUUCGGGGGCAGCGGCGGACGGGUGAGUAACGCGUGGGAAUAUGCCCUUUGGUACGGAACAACUGAGGGAAACUUCAGCUAAUACCGUAUGUGCCCUUCGGGGGAAAGAUUUAUCGCCAUUGGAGUAGCCCGCGUUGGAUUAGGUAGUUGGUGAGGUAAAGGCUCACCAAGCCGACGAUCCAUAGCUGGUCUGAGAGGAUGAUCAGCCACACUGGGACUGAGACACGGCCCAGACUCCUACGGGAGGCAGCAGUAGGGAAUCUUGCGCAAUGGGCGAAAGCCUGACGCAGCCAUGCCGCGUGAAUGAUGAAGGUCUUAGGAUUGUAAAAUUCUUUCACCGGGGAAGAUAAUGACGGUACCCGGAGAAGAAGCCCCGGCUAACUUCGUGCCAGCAGCCGCGGUAAUACGAAGGGGGCUAGCGUUGCUCGGAAUUACUGGGCGUAAAGGGCGCGUAGGCGGAUAGUUUAGUCAGAGGUAAAAGCCCAGGGCUCAACCUUGGAACUGCCUUUGAUACUGGCUAUCUUGAGUUCGGGAGAGGUGAGUGGAAUGCCGAGUGUAGAGGUGAAAUUCGUAGAUAUUCGGCGGAACACCAGUGGCGAAGGCGACUCACUGGCCCGAUACUGACGCUGAGGCGCGAAAGCGUGGGGAGCAAACAGGAUUAGAUACCCUAGUAGUCC
rnacentral:rRNA from 1 species